ACCCAAGUAUCUUGUACUACUACUUUUUCAAAACUCAUCUGCCAUCACUUUUAUUACCAAAAUGGCUGAAGAGAAGAAGCACCACUUCGGUCUCUUCCACCACAAGGACAAGGAGGAAGACAAAACUACCUAUGGAGAAACUCCAUAUGGUGGUGAUACUGAAAAAACUACCUAUGGAGAGAAUACAUAUGAAGAGAAAACUAGUUAUGGUGGGGGAGAUAACUAUGGGGAUAACAAAUAUGGUGAGAAAACUGGCUAUGGAGAAAGUGGAUAUGGAGAGAAAACUAGUUAUGGUGAGGGAGGUAACUAUGGAGAUAGUGGCUAUGAAAAUAAGACUAGCUAUGGAGAUAGUGGCUAUGAAAAUAAGACUAGUUAUGGAGAUAGCGGCUAUGAAAACAAGACUGGCUAUGGAGAUAUUCCAUCUGAUACUACCUAUGGAGAGAAAACUAAUUAUGGUGAAGGAGAUACCUAUGGAAAAGGAGCUGCCUACUCAUCUGAGACCACUAAUUUUGAAGAGACUACUGAUGAAGGCAAAACUGGUGAGGAUUAUGAGAAAGAGAAAAAGCACCACAAGCAUCUUGAACACGUGGGAGGGCUUGGGGCUGCUGCUGCUGGUGCCUUUGCCUUGGUAAUUUUUCACACAAUGUUUUAUGUUACAGUUUUAACUUUUAUAUCCUUGUGGUCCAGUCCUUCCCCGGACCCCGCGCAUAACGGAAACUCAGUGCAUCGGACUGCCUUUAUUGUCGUAUCAGUAAAGUUACAAAAUUAUGUUAAUUAAAGUCAUUGAACUUUACCUAUUGUAUCAGCUAAGUCACAAAAUUAUUUGUUGUCUCAUAAAAGUCAUUGACAAUUUGUUAGUUGUCUAGAAAAUACAAUUCACUAGAAAGUCAAAUUUUUUAAUAAAAAUUGAUAUUAGUAGCCAAGAGAAUAAGAGAAACUACUACUCUUUCCGUCUCACUUCAUGUGAAGGUGUUUGACUGGACAUGAAAUUUAAGAAAUAAAGAAAAAAAUUUGAAACUUGUGGUUUAAAAUAAUUUAUAGAAAUUUAUUUGGCUAAAAAUUAUCUCAUUAAGGGUAAAAGAAAAAAUUUAAAAUUAAGUUGUUACUAAAUAUAGAAAUGUGUCAUUUUUUUAUGAGUGAGUAAGAAGAAAAGAGUGUCACAUCAAAUUGAUUAAAAUAGACUCAUAGUCAAAUAUUAUGGGUCAAUUUGAAGAAAAUUUUGAUUUUUACUCUAGAUAUUGUAAAAAGAAUUUACACUAUCAAUCAUUCAUCUAGAAAGAUUAAUAGAGUUGUUAACUAUUCCUUUUUGUUUCUUCCAUAUUUUGGUAUGAAAAUUUCA
rnacentral:lncRNA from 1 species